CAGCAAGAAAUUUCAGUGAAGUUCGGGAAAUGAACAUUCAUAACAUUAAUUCUGUUUUAAUCCCCUUUUGAUCAGAUUUGUAGCUGCUUCAAUCGAAUAGUUAUAGUUAAGGAUGGAUUCAAAUUAGUAAAGUCUCAGUCCAAGACGAGCCACUCGUGCCAAGGCACUUUCACUCGUGCCAAGGCACUAAGGGGCGUGCACGACAACGAUGAUCUCGGACGGAUCUGGGAACAAGAAUGAUGUCAGUCGUCUACCUCGUGAGUCAUACGAUACGUGUGACCGAUUUUCAAUUUCCGGGUUGUGUGGAUAAUGCAAAAUACGAUCCAGUAUUUACCUUGAUUAUUCCCUUUCUCAAGCAAAACUUGUACAGUUAUUCAGUUAGAUCUCUGAGGAGAAAUCCCAUUAAGACCUCGUCGGAGAUGAACUCGCAAAUAAGCUUGGCAAUGGUCCUCAUUUUGUGCCUAAGCAACGCGGCUGGGAAAAAGAAUGUUACGUUAGGGUAAUAUAUGAAGACAUGGUUGAUCAUCGCAGUUAUACACACAACAUAAGCAGUAGUGAAAUUAAC
rnacentral:misc_RNA from 1 species